rnacentral:tRNA from 2 species
GCCCGGAUGGGGUAGCAUGGAUAUCCUUGGGGGCUGCGGACUCCCAAACCCGGGUUCAAAUCCCGGUCCGGGCA